CUGGGGCCGAUGGUCCCCACGACGGUCUGAGCCGGACCCCAGUCUCCCUCAGCCCGGGGCUCUGACCAGAUCUGAGCGUUUCCCAUCAGGGUAGCCGAGGAGAUCCAUCACGGUGGUGGUCGGGCCUACAGACUCUUUGAAACCUGCUCCCUCUCAAUCCUCACCCCUGCCUCCCCUCUGCCCUUACACUCAAGAGGAAAAGUUGGCUGCCCUCAGUGGACCCAAACCCAGCCUAACAGGACCAGGUUCUGGGAGCACCAAGCUGAACAUAAAACCCGCUGCUCUGUCUUCUCCGUCCCUCUUCACCUCUGGAGCCGAAUGAAACAUCAGGCAUUUGCAGCCCUCACCUCCCUGCAGGUUCUCAGCCCUCCUUUGGCUGGAUUAAUGAGGAAGUUCUUCCCCAGAAGAUGCCUGCCUCCCUUCACCGGAGCCCAGACAGUACAGGAAGAAGAAAGGAUUUCAUGGAAACAACGGCUCUAGAAAGGUUUUGCCUAGUGGCUCCUGGUUACACGGGAGAGGGAGGAAGAGAGGGCAGUGUGGGUGGCAAGGUACUAUUUAGCAACCCCGGGGACGAAGAGGCAUCCAUCAGAAGAGCGUCUUAGACCGGAAGAUGAGGGGUGGGGGAACACGACAGCAGUAGCCAUCGCCUCUGGACGGUGGAAGAGGGCAACGCACUGUUGAGAUGUACCUGAAAAUAAUAAUGUUGUUCCUUGACUUAAUAUAGCACAUUCAUUUUUCCAAA